rnacentral:rRNA from 1 species
UACGGGGGGGGCAAGCGUUGUUCGGAAUUACUGGGCGUAAAGGGCUCGUAGGCGGCCUGCUAAGUCGAACGUGAAAUCCCUGGGCUCAACCCAGGAACUGCGUCCGAUACUGGUUGGCUUGAAUCCGGGAGAGGGACGUGGAAUUCCAGGUGUAGCGGUGAAAUGCGUAGAUAUCUGGAGGAACACCGGUGGCGAAGGCAGAUCUCUGGGCCGUAACUGACGCUGAGGAGCGAAAGCGUGGGGAGCGAACAGG